rnacentral:rRNA from 1 species
AACGUAGGACGCAAGCGUUAUCCGGAGUUACUGGGCGUAAAGCGCGGGCAGGCGGCUCGAUGCGUCCGAUGUGAAAUCCCCCGGCUCAACCGGGAGAGGCCAUUGGAAACGGUCGGGCUGGAGGGCAGUAGAGGCAGGCGGAAUUCCGGGUGGAGUGGUGAAAUGCGUAGAGAUCCGGAGGAACACCAGUGGCGAAGGCGACACGCUGGGCCGUACCUGACACUGAUGCGCGACAGCAUGGGGAGCAAACAGG